GAGUGAUUUGUUGACUAUCUUUGUUUGUUUUCUAGAGCCUUUGUUGGGUGACUGAUCUUGGAUGUUUGUGUUGAAGUGCAUUUGGCCGAUGCAAUUUCAAUUCAGAUAUCUGGUUUAGUUUCCUAAUUCCAUCCUUGAUUUUUUUGAUUUUGAAUUUGAUAACCCAACUCAUUGAGCUAAAUUUAUGACCAUUGUGUAAA
rnacentral:lncRNA from 1 species